AUGAAAAAAGAUGAUAAUAAAAAAAUGAACCUGGCGUAUUCACACGCAUACGAGGGGCAUCACAUUCCAUUCUCCUAUUUUCCUUCAAUCUAUUCUCCCCCAACCCCCAAAACAAUCAUAGUAAAAAUUCAUAGAAAAAAUAAUGGAAAAAAAAAAGAUGACUGCCAGUUAACGAGCAGCGGAAACGAAGGUGGGAUGGUAGUUCCGGCUAGAGUGUGA